AGAAUUCUGGCAUUAGUAUAUGACAUUCACAGUACUUUAUGCGACUUCUAGGAGUAUAAACUCUGGUCACUCUGAACAGUUAAGAAUAAUAUGGCAGAAAUGCAGAGGAGCCAGAAGUUAAUUGCUGAAGAAAUAUAUGUUAAAGGAGGAGAGCAGAUGAAGAAUAGUAGGUCAAGGCAAUCAUGAUCGGAACUUUGAAAGCCAGGAUAAAGGGCUACAAGGAAGGCAAAGAAAAGCAAACAUGAUCAGAGCUAAAAUCACCUAAGAGCAGAGGCCUGUUCCAUUGCCGCAGCCCCCACCAACCAAAGUCUGUAAAGAAGGUAAAGCGGAACGGCUUAGCUGCUGCCGACUAGGGCCCCUC